GUGUUGUUCAUGCUUCUGCAUUUGAGUAAUAGUUUCUACUUAUACUUAGGGAAAUCAAUAUCGUCCAACAAAGAUACCUCUGAACUCAGUGCGCCCUUUUGAAUAUACUGAGGUAGCUUCUUUUAUCCACCGGAUCAUCUAUACUGAGGUUGUGCUGAAGGAUGAACCUGAUAUUGAUCCUAAUGAUCACAGUUCAAUUCUUGAACAUCUGGAUAAAGUAGUAUGUAUAUUCCUCGUUUUUCAAUCCUUUGUAUUUGUUCAGAAUAUUAUAUGCUAAACCUAUUGCAUGCUUGUUAUCUUCUGUUCUUUUAACUGAGAUGUUUAUGGCCAUGAUUGCAUUUCAACCACUUCUGAUUGCAGUAGGUCAGAAAGUUGAUAGAAAGAUCUAAUCAAAAGUCUAAUAAUGGAUAUGUUGUAAAGCUCCCUUUAGUUCGAGUAAAGGUGGGUCUCGUAUGUGACGUGUGUCACUGCCGUGUAUCACUUUUUAUUCGAUGCCCCUCUCCCUUUAUUUUAGUGUCAAAUUCAUGUUCCUUUGUGGAUGACUAAUCUGACAGGUAGACUACUCUGGGUUUAUGACUAUUAAUCCUCAAAGGUUUGUCAUUUUAUUAUCUUUCUUUCCCGAUCAUCUUGAUCAUCUGCUUCUACAUUGUAAGGUGGCUAGUAGGUUAUCAAAGGGUGGCCUUAAAUUUGUUUAGGAUACAAUGGGUCAUGUUGGAUACAGUGGAAGAGACUUUGCAAAGUUGGACUCACAAAAUGGGAGAGGAAGGCCCGAGAGCAUGGGGCAUUGCCCCCUUAGCAAUCACAUGGGUCAUUUGAAAAGAAAGGAAUAUGAGGGCUUUUAAAGGGGUGUUUUGAAAAAAUAAAGAGUAGUGUUUUGUACCGAGUUUACUUUUGGUGUACUUGUGAGGUCCCAAUUUUUAUAGAGGCUUGGACCUCUUUUGUUGAGAACCAUAUUUUGGUAUAGUUUCUCUUUUUCUGGUAUAUGUAUACGGGGUUCACUCCAAAUGUUAAUAAAAUUAUUUACCUUAAAAAAAAAGGGCAGUCCGAUGCACUCUAAGCUCCUUUAGCAAGGUCUGGAGAAGGGCCCGACCACAAGGAUCUAUUGUAUGCAACCUCACCUUACAUUUCCGCAAGGAGCUAUUUCCAAGGCUUGAACCUGUGACAUCUGGGUCACAUGGUAGCAACUUAACCAGCUAUUUCAAUAAAAUAAAAUUAUUUACCUUAUCAAACAAAAAGACAUCUUCCCGGUAUCUACAACAUUGAAAUCAAUUAAGAAUUUGCAUAAUAAAGCUUCCCUUACUAAUACAAUAAGACUUCCUACUAAUAUUGUACAUUCACAUCUUCGUAUAUUUUUAUAGAGAUUCCACAUCAAAUUAGUUCUUUAGUAGAAGAAGACAACACAAAAGUAACAUGUCCAAAAAACAAUUCUUGGCUAAUACAAAUCUCUCUUGAGAAUCGCAUUGGACUAUCGACUUCUAGAGUCUUGUAUGGAGAACACAAUCUUAUGAAAUCUACCUUUUCCGAUGGUGUAAGUCUGUGUUGAAUUGCAGGCACAUUCAUUGAUCCACUGGGCAGCUUGCUACGAUCGACAAAAGUAUAGGACAAACAUUCUGGAGACCAAAGCCAAAGAAAAUGGACUCAUGUUGAGUGUCAUACCUAGAGGACCUCUAGAUACAUAUUCUGAUUGCUCAACCACACAUUUAUCUUGCACGAGAAUUUUAUCAAAUCUACCUUUACUUUGACCACUCCAAAAAAUUUAGAUAUAUGUAGAAAGUUGGUUAGAUAUACUCGUUGCAAUACAAGUAUUUAAGUACCUAAGAAACACUUAUCUUUGCAGGAUAGAAUUUCGCUUGUGGUGGAAAUUGUGUUUGAUAUGGUCAACAAUGGAUGAUGCCAAGCAUAGUCACAAAAGUAUUGCAAAGCUGGCUUUUUACUAGACACAAGAGAAUACGUAGGGUGUGGAAAUUUGCUCCAUUAUCCCUUAUAUGGGACGUAAGGAGAAAAGAGAAACAAGAAAGCUUUUAUUGAAUAGAGGAAGAUUUUGUUCAUUUGAGGAAUAGCCUCUUAUUACUUGUUUCCUUUUGGUGUAACGAUGAGGUUCUGGUAGGUAUAAUAGAUAGGGUGUCAUUCGUAGA